GAACAUGAGAGUUUGAUCCUGGCUCAGGAUGAACGCUGGCGGCGUGCUUAACACAUGCAAGUCGAACGAAGCACUUUAACGGAUCUUCUUCGGGAGUGAAGAUAUUGUGACUGAGUGGCGGACGGGUGAGUAACGCGUGGGUAACCUGCCUCAUACAGGGGGAUAACAGCUGGAAACGGCUGCUAAUACCGCAUAAGCGCACAGUACCGCAUGGUACGGUGUGAAAAACUCCGGUGGUAUGGGAUGGACCCGCGUCUGAUUAGCUUGUUGGUGAGGUAACGGCCCACCAAGGCGACGAUCAGUAGCCGACCUGAGAGGGUGACCGGCCACAUUGGGACUGAGACACGGCCCAAACUCCUACGGGAGGCAGCAGUGGGGAAUAUU
rnacentral:ncRNA from 1 species